CCCCUUCUCUUUGUUUCGUCAGAGCUCAGAUUCGAUCUUCAUGGCUCGUUCUUCCAAGAACACGGCUUCGUCCUUUUCCAGAAAUCUUCUUCAUCGUAAGAUUCAACUUCAUCAUCCAUCCGGUUCUGAGUUUAUUAUUUCCUUUCAAGCUGUGACUUGAUUCUUAUACGUUCUUUAUUAUUGAGAAUAAUAUAUAGGAAGAUCGUGCGCUAAAGGAUUAGUUCUUUGAGAUUGACGUCACGAUUCAUGGACGAAGAGGCCAAGAAUCUUCUUUCUUUGCGCAUUUUACAUACAAGGUUUUAUCUGCCUGGGGAGGCUCCAUGGAGGCAGUGGUUGAUGGGUAUUCUUCAAGUCAGUGGUGGCAGAUAAUCUGGUUGUGUAAUCUAUUGAAACCAGGAGCGAAAUGGGAUAAAGUUGUGAUGUUGGAUGAAUGAAAUGUAAUGGGAUAAAGAGACCCUUGCACAGUGGGUUGAGUCCUUGUUUUGUCAUCCGACCUUUGCCAUGACAGGUGCGCUUGUAUGGCAGGUCACACAAAUCUUAAUAAAAUUUCUCUUUUGGUGGUUUUGAGGGGAGUUCGCACGGGAUAGUCCGGGUUCUCCCCUCUGUGUGUGGUGUGUCUGCUCUGCUUUUCAUUGCCUCUAUCUCUUUUCAUUGAAUUUGCUAUUAUCGUCCUAAUGCACCCCUGUGCAUGCGCUUGGAUUCGUGAAUAUGUUUCUACCCGGCCCUAUGCACCAUAUCACUUGGAUUCAUAAACCUGAUACUAUUUCCGGAUGCACCUGAGUGUUGGAAUCAUAAGCAUCUCAGCGGGAUAAGGUUUUAAACCCAUUCAACAAUCAGAUCCUGUUGCACUAAUACAUUCUACUCAAAAGAUUUGGAGGUACCGGAAUAUGGUGGCUAGCAAACCUCCAAUUCUGAUAGGUUCCAGCAACUCCCCUCGGUCCCAGGUUUGGCUCCUCUCCAGUUCAGUUCCGAUCAAACCAGCACUCAGCAACCCACAGCAAAAUACAGCGGCAACUCUCAAACAAACAGAAAUGAAAAUGAGCAAAACUGCAGCAAUUGGUUCACCCUAAAUAUUCCAGCAACACCACUAUCCAUGAACACAAGAAUAUAAAUGGAAAAGAAGAAAACAGCAUCAUAUUGCAUUCAAAGAGCUCUAGAAAUAAUAGUCAUUACAGUAGCCAUCAGAGUAUGUAAUUGUAGCUGAAAAUGGAAACAACUGAAGAAAAAGGAAAAAUAUGUAAGCUGGGUUUCCAGAGCCAACCCACUCUAACUGUAAUACAAUAAAUCAAACUCAAUAAAAGGAUUUAUUCUUCUCUA